rnacentral:rRNA from 1 species
UACAGGGGGUGCAAACGUUGCUCGGCCUCAUUGGGCGUAAAGCGCACGUAGGCGGCCUGUUAAGUCGGAUGUGAAAGCCCUUGGCUCAACUGAGGAAGUGCAUCCGAAACUGGCAGGCUUGAAUCUCAAAGAGGGCUGCGGAAUUCCCGGUGUAGAGGUGAAAUUCGUAGAUAUCGGGAGGAACACCAGUGGCGAAGGCGGCAGCCUGGGUGAUGAUUGACGCUGAGGUGCGAUAGCGUGGGGAGCAAACAGG